GACGAACGCUGGCGGCGUGCUUAAUACAUGCAAGUCAACUGAACUUAAGGUAGCAAUAUUUUAAGGGAGGUGGCGCACGGGUGAGUAACACGUAGGUAAUCUGCCUUUAGGUCUGACACAACCUACCGAAAGGUAGGCUAAUAUCAGAUGAUGCAGCGGCUCGACAUCGAGACAGUUGUUAAAACCUUCGGGGCCUAAAGAUGAGCCUGCGUCUGAUUAGGUAGUUGGCGGAGUAAUAGCCCACCAAGCCUGCGAUCAGUAGCUGGUCUGAGAGGAUGAUCAGCCACACUGGAACUGAGACACGGUCCAGACUCCUACGGGAGGCAGCAGUAAGGAAUAUUGCUCAAUGGCCGAAAGGCUGAAGCAGCAACGCCGCGUGGAGGAUGAAAUACUUUUGUAUGUAAACUCCUGUAA
rnacentral:rRNA from 1 species